rfam:Acetivibrio ethanolgignens strain ACET-33324 ACET-33324.Scaf29, whole genome shotgun sequence.
GGGGAUGUAAAGGUUUCGACAGGGGUAUGAAAGUUGUUACUUCGCUCGGCGGGCAACCUACGUUAAUGGAAGAAAUUAAAUAUAAACGCAAACAGAAAAGUUGCAAUUGCAGCCUAAGUGCUGUGCCAAAAUACUCUAAGAUAGUACUGGUAGGAGUUGAGGUUAAAAAACAAGUACAGCAGAAGUUCCAUGUAGACAAAUAGGAAUAUGGUGGUGGAAUAGAAGUCAGUACGACUCCCUAAUACGUAUGGCAGAAAGUUAAUCGCUAGAGUGAAAGCCAACGUGAAAUAACUCAGAAGGAUUACAAAACAGCGUAAAGAGUGAUAACAAGUAGUAUUUUUGGACAGGGGUUCGAUUCCCCUCAUCUCCACUG